rnacentral:lncRNA from 1 species
CCGGAAGUAAACGUAAUAAAAUGCUGACUCUGCAUCUUUUUUUGCAAGGAGUGAACUUUGAGAAUUUCUCGAAAGAAAUAAUGUUUUACAUGCAAGAUAAACAUUAAUUUGAUCUGGUUAUUUCACCAUUAAAUGUUUUAAUGAUUGACCAAAUCAGUAAACUAAAGGAUCAUGUAAAUGUUUCAAUUAUGAAAGCUGUUCAAGUUGAUGAAUCGAAGGAUACAAUGUGUAGUUUGGGAGAGUCAUUGUAUACGGACAGCAAUCAAUUGGAGAACAUGAAAGUUUUUGAAUUUUUAUUAUAAUCGACGAAAUAUACAGACAAUUUAAAAGCGAUAGUUGUGGACGAAGCCCAAUCUUGUUACUGAAUGGUGAGUGAGUGAUACUGAUAUAUUUGGUUGUUUCUCAAUAUUCUUUCUUUGCUAUAUUAAUUAAUGGUUAUCUGCAAGACUGUACACAUACAGACAACAUAUAUUCUGUUUAAUACGUCCAGUCUAAACGCUGCAUUUUACAUGUGCCAAGUCUAGAAAAGUUUGUUCAACCUUUUAAGUGCUACCAAAUUAUUUUACUCAGUUUAACAUGCCAGAUGAUUGAGUGUACUGGUCAGUGUGAGAGUGCUACUGCUCAAUGGGUUAAUCAGAUUAUCUAUUGUACUUUACUAUCUUACUGUCUAAUGUCAGACAAUUUUGCUCAUCAAGGGGAGAGUGGGUAUAAUUGCAAAGUAAUUACUUUGCCACUUUGGACAAAUGUAUAAGUUACAUAUGUUUACUACGUACCGGUAUGUACAUAAAUUCAACAUGUAAAUCAAAAUGUCAAACUUUAUUAUUUGAGUCAAACUUUAUUAUUUGAGUCAAACCAUGUAAAUUCACAUUAGACUUGGCACAUGUAAAAUGCAGCAUUUAGACAAUGAACAUAAAAACCGGAAAUAUUAUGUGCAUCCCCCCCACCCCCUCCACCCACAACACCCCCCUCCCCCACCUUAAUCUUGGUAUCCCCAGAUAACGAUUGUUUGUAGGAUAUACAACUACCUGUAAGGUAUCAUGUGUGACUGCAUACUACAAGCUAGUAUCAUAUUGUACAGUUUAAUACAUAUAUAUGACUUGAAAUAUGUAUUUUCUUGCCAUGCCAUAUUCAAUCAUAAAAUUAUCCAUGUUGCUGUUAAAUUAUGAUUGGCCUAAAAUUUUUGGCUAAAGAUUGUUUUAAUUUAUAAACAUUGUACUACUACUUUAGGAAGGAUUUCAGGCCUUGCUAUGAAAGGAUUGGCAUGUCGGGAAGUUUGUUUCUCCAUCAACUCAGAGAAAGAAGUUGCAUCAACUCAGAGAAAGAAAGAAAUUUCAUCAACUCAGAGAAAGAAAGAAAUUACAUGAACAAAAUAAACAAUUUUGUGUCAUUGAUAUAAAUAAUGAUUUAUUCUUACAAUUUCCUCCAUGAAAAUUUGGUGUGUUAAUAAAGAUACUGUAAAAAAUAAAUAACAGCUUUAUGGUGCAUCCAUGCUGUGCUUUAAUAUUGCAGUGGUGUAGGAAAUGGAGGUGUGUGGGUACCAGUGUGCUUGUGUGUGGAGGCCGGAUGCUCCAGGAGUUCCCCGACAAGGAAGAUCAAGUCCCCGACAAG